UACGUAGGCAGCAAGCGUUGUUCGGAAUUACUGGGCGUAAAGAGUGUGUAGGCGGUUCUCUAAGUUUGGUGUGAAAUCUCCCGGCUUAACCGGGAGGCUGCAUCGAAUACUGGAAUGCUGGAGGGUGGGAGAGGUAAGCGGAAUUCCUGGUGUAGCGGUGAAAUGCGUAGAUAUCAGGAGGAACACCUGUGGUGUAGACAGCUUACUGGACCGCUUCUGACGCUGAGACACGAAAGCGUGGGUAGCAAACAGG
rnacentral:rRNA from 1 species